rnacentral:rRNA from 1 species
UACGUAGGGGGCAAGCGUUGUCCGGAAUCAUUGGGCGUAAAGCGCGUGUAGGCGGCUCGGUAAGUCUGCUGUGAGAGUCCAGGGCUCAACCCUGGGAUGCCGGUGGAUACUGUCGAGCUCGAGUCCGGAAGAGGCGAGUGGAAUUCCUGGUGUAGCGGUGAAAUGCGCAGAUAUCAGGAGGAACACCAAUGGCGAGGGCAGCUCGCUGGGACGUGACUGACGCUGAGACGCGAAAGCGUGGGGAGCAAACAGG